ACAAAUUACAAAUUAGGCGUCGUAUCCGUGGUCAGACUUGGCAAUCUGCAGGCCAAUCCGGGUUGGUUGGCUGUUGACCGAGCCGACGUGGACUUGAUUCAUGGGCACAGGGCACUCUUCUCUUGCUGGACCGGGGAGCUCCUCCGGCUCCUCCAAUGAAGUGGGUGAUGUGCACAGCAGGCGGCGGAUGACCAACAAUUCUCCAACUCCUGCCCGCUUCCACCUUCCUCAGACGUAACAGUACGGGGGACCAAUUCUCACGGAAGAUUCCGACCAAAGAAGCUGCUGACCUUCUCUUCCUGACGACGAGCUCACGAAUCACGACUAUGACAUGAGAUGCUAAACAGGAGGACUAGGGGUCUGUUUGGUUCAGCUUUUUUCUGACCAGCUUUUCUGAGAAUCUGGCUGUGGAGAGAAUCUGGCUGUGGGAAGAAUCUGCGUAUUGUGUGCAUUACGUGCGGUGGAAGAUGAAGUGGUCGAAAUGGUUCAGGAUCUAGAAAGGAACAAAUUUCUACUAUCGUGACGAUUCGACCGAUUUUGUGUUCAUAUUGAUUUUGGAAGGUUUUUACCAAAGCGAUUUUUAUAGAAGCUGGCUGAAAAGCUAGGACGUUUGGCGAUCUGCAGUAGCUUUUGGUGGCCAGAAGCUGUAAAAAGCCGAAACAAACAGGGCCUAGAAUGGCUACUAGGUUUAGGUUGGAUGCACGAGAAACAUAUGCAUGCAGCACUCCAGUCCCUGUAACUAUGGCUGGCACACACGUGGACAAUGUAGCAGGUCCAUAGAACAGCAAAUAUAGUACAUAUUAAACCUAUCUGAACUUUUAACACAAACAUCAGAGUGGCGCAGCGGAAGCGUGGUGGGCCCAUAACCCACAGGUCGCAGGAUCGAAACCUGCCUCUGAUAAUAUAUAUUUUUCUUUUUGCUUUAUUUUACACACACCAGUACACCACACAUCUCAAUCAGAUCAUUACGCAUGUAGCGAACACAAAUCGUAAAGCUACCGACGCACAGCAUCCAAAACCAUUACACCGACAGUAAAAGAAAAAACCGAAACCCUCAAAU